AUACGGAGGGUCCAAGCGUUAUCCGGAAUCAUUGGGUUUAAAGGGUCCGCAGGCGGUCAAUUAAGUCAGAGGUGAGAGCCCAUCGCUCAACGAUGGAACUGCCUUUGAUACUGGUUGACUUGAGUUAUACGGAAGUAGAUAGAAUAAGUAGUGUAGCGGUGAAAUGCAUAGAUAUUACUUAGAAUACCGAUUGCGAAGGCAGUCUACUACGUAUAUACUGACGCUGAGGGACGAAAGCGUGGGGAGCGAACAGGAUUAGAAACCCCGGUAGUCC
rnacentral:rRNA from 1 species